rnacentral:rRNA from 1 species
UACGAAGGGGGCCAGCGUUGCUCGGAAUCACUGGGCGUAAAGCGCACGUAGGCGGCUUUUUAAGUCAGGGGUGGAAUCCUGGAGCUCAACUCCAGAACUGCCUUUGAUACUGGGAAGCUCGAGUCCGGAAGAGGUGAGUGGAACUCCGAGUGUAGAGGUGAAAUUCGUAGAUAUUCGGAAGAACACCAGUGGCGAAGGCGGCUCACUGGUCCGGUACUGACGCUGAGGUGCGAAAGCGUGGGGAGCGAACAGG